UACGUAGGGGGCAAGCGUUGUCCGGAAUCAUUGGGCGUAAAGCGCGCGUAGGUGGCCCGGUAAGUCCGCUCUGAAAGUCACAGGCUCAACCUGUGAAAGCGGGUGGAUACUGCCGGGCUAGAGUCCGGAAGAGGCGAGUGGAAUUCCUGGUGUAGCGGUGGAAUGCGCAGAUAUCAGGAGGAACACCAACGGCGAAGGCAGCUCGCUGGGACGGUACUGACACUGAGGCGCGAAAAGCGUGGGGAGCGAACAGG
rnacentral:rRNA from 1 species